rnacentral:piRNA from 1 species
UAGGCCAAAGUUCAUAAUCUUGACUUUUCAAU